rnacentral:rRNA from 1 species
UAAAAAUUUAGUUACUUAUUAAAUAAAGAAAAAUAUUAUUUUAUUAUUUUAUAGAAAAAAUAUAAUUUUAUUAUAGUUAAAUAGUAUUGAAAAAGAAAUUUUUAAUUUUAAAAAAGAAAAAUUUAAUUUUUGUACCUUGUGUAUCAGGGUUUAUUAAAUUGAUAAAAAUAUUUUUAUUUCUCGAAUUUAAAAGAUCUAAUAAAUUAUUAUUAUUAUUGUAAAAUAACUAAAAUUUAAUAUUUUAUUAGUAAUGAAAUGUUUUUCGUUUUUAAGUAUAUCUAGUUUUUUAAGAAAUUAAUUUAAUUAAUUUAUUAUAAAUAUAUUUUUAUUUAAAUAAUUUUAUAUUAAUAAUAAAAAAUAUUUUUAGGGAUUAGCUUAAAAUUUGAUUUUUAUUAAAAAUUUAAAAAAUUAUAAAAUUAGGAUUAAAAAUUUUCAAAUUUUAAAGUAUGUUAUUAUUUAUUAUAAUGUAAUAAUUUUUUUAUUUUUUAUAAAUAUUUUAUUAAAAUAUAAAUUUAAAUUUUAAUGGUUUAGAAAUUAUGAUAAAAUUAGUAAAUUAUGAUGUAAAAUUUAAAUAUUUAUUAGAUUUUAUAAAGGAAUUCGGCAAAUUAUUUUUUACCUGUUUAUUAAAAACAUGUCUUUUUGUAAAAAUAUAAAGUCUAACCUGCCCAAUGAAAAUUUAAAUGGCCGCGGUAUAUUAACCGUGCUAAGGUAGCAUAAUCAUUAGUUUUUUAAUUGAAAGCUGGAAUGAAGGGUUGGAUAAAAAAAUAACUGUCUCUAUAAAAUUGAUUGAAUUUUAUUUUUAAGUUAAAAAGCUUAAAUUUUUUUAAAAGACGAGAAGACCCUAUAGAGUUUUAUAUAAAAUAUAAUUAUUUUUUUUAGUAUUUAUUUAAAUAAUUAGAUUUUAUAUUUAAUUGGGGUGAUUAAAAAAUUUAAUAAACUUUUUUUGUAUAAAAAUAUAUUUUUAUAAAUUAUUGAUCCAAAAAUUUUGAUUAUAAGAUAAAAUUACCUUAGGGAUAACAGCGUAAUUUUAUUAGAGAGUUCUUAUUGAUAAUAAAGAUUGCGACCUCGAUGUUGGAUUAAAAUUUAUAAUUGGUGCAAAAGCUAUAUUAUUAAGUCUGUUCGACUUUUAAAAUUUUACAUGAUCUGAGUUUAAACCGGUGUAAGCCAGGUUGGUUUCUAUCUUUAAUAAAUUAAUAUAUUUUAGUACGAAAGGACCAAUUAUAUAAAUAAUAUUUUAAAUUUGAAUAAUAAAUAUUAUUUUGGCAGAUUAGUGCAA